GAAGAAUGAAGAAAGAAAACUGCUGCUGGUUUGCAUAUUUCGUAUCAAAAGCACAGGUACAAUAAGUUUAUUCAUCCACAAGAAAACCAUAACAAUCAGUCUGGUUCUCAGAGCACCAAAGCUGUCAUCAUGCUUGUUGUGAUGCCCAGUUUGUCACCGGACUGAAGCAGUUACCUGCUGAUGGUUGUGCUAUAGGAACUGUUUCAGUCAGGGUUGAAUCUGGCACCACCGCUGAUACGCCCUGCGCCAUAAUGCGUGCCAAUGGCGAAGAAUCACCAGUCAACUGCGCACUUUGAAGAGCUCCAGAAUUGACUGUUGGCGGCCCAAGCUCUGCAGGCACAGUGUUAAUCUCCACCUUCAUCCCGCUGCUGCAAUGCCCUUCAACUCCACAGAUGAAGUAUCUCUUACCCGGUGUAGGAGGCUGGAACCUAGGCAGGAAUCUGCAGUCAUGGGCAUCAGCGCAACUCCAAAGGACCAAAGCCCAUAACCACCAAUUCCAACCCCCCAAUGGCGCCGUCGAGGUCCGCCGGAGACCGGAGGAGAUCACGGUCUUCGGCUCCGGCCAUGUUCAUGAUUUUGUAGUUCGGAGUUUCGGAGAGCCGCAGGGUGACGGAGUUCUGG